GAUGAGUGUUCGAUGAUGAAUGCAGCGCCAGAGAUACGAGUCUUUCCGGUGCCUUGAUGGGAAAUCGCAGCUUUUAGCGUUUCUUUAACAUGCAGCGUCGGGAAGGAAUGCCGGCAGCUUUACCCAGGUAUUGGCUCACUGAAAGGAUCAACCCUUUGAGAUUUUUCCCGUCCACGGUGCUGUAACGAACGUGUACACAAAGCAUCUUCGGUGGAAGGAUGAGAACUGGCGCCAAGUUCAGC